AGUGAACGCUGGCGGUAGGCCUAACACAUGCAAGUCGAACGGCAGCACAGUAAGAGCUUGCUCUUACGGGUGGCGAGUGGCGGACGGGUGAGGAAUACAUCGGAAUCUACUUUUUCGUGGGGGAUAACGUAGGGAAACUUACGCUAAUACCGCAUACGACCUACGGGUGAAAGCAGGGGAUCUUCGGACCUUGCGCGAGUGAAUGAGCCGAUGUCGGAUUAGCUAGUUGGCGGGGUAAAGGCCCACCAAGGCGACGAUCCGUAGCUGGUCUGAGAGGAUGAUCAGCCACACUGGAACUGAGACACGGUCCAGACUCCUACGGGAGGCGGCAGUGGGGAAUAUUGGACAAUGGGCGCAAGCCUGAUCCAGCCAUACUGCGUGGGUGAAGAAGGCCUUCGGGUUGUAAAGCCCUUUUGUUGGGAAAGAAAAGCAGCAGGUUAAUACCCCGCUGUUCUGACGGUACCCAAAGAAUAAGCACCGGCUAACUUCGUG
rnacentral:rRNA from 1 species